AGGGUUUGAUCAUGGCUCAGGACGAACGCUGGCGGCGCGCCUAACACAUGCAAGUCGAACGAGCGAGAGAGAGCUUGCUUUCUCAAGCGAGUGGCGAACGGGUGAGUAACGCGUGAGGAACCUGCCUCAAAGAGGGGGACAACAGUUGGAAACGACUGCUAAUACCGCAUAAGCCCACAGCUCGGCAUCGAGCAGAGGGAAAAGGAGCAAUCCGCUUUGAGAUGGCCUCGCGUCCGAUUAGCUAGUUGGUGAGGUAAUGGCCCACCAAGGCGACGAUCGGUAGUCGGACUGAGAGGUUGAACGGCCACAUUGGGACUGAGACACGGCCCAG
rnacentral:rRNA from 1 species